rnacentral:rRNA from 1 species
GAGAUGUGGGUUAGUCCGCACGAGCGCACCUCACUUUUAGUUGCCAUCAUUAAGUUGGGCACUCUGCAAAGAACUGCCAGUGAUAAGCUGGAGGAAGGUGGGGAUGACGUCAAGUCCUCAUGGCCCUUACGUGUUGGGCUACACACGUGCUACAAUGGCAUCUACAACAGGAAGCAAAACGGCAACGUUAAGCAAAUCCCGAAAAGAUGCCUCAGUUCGGAUUGCACUCUGCAACUCGAGUGCAUGAAGCUGGAAUUACUAGUAAUCGUGGAUCAGCGUGCCACGGUGAAUGCGUUCCCAGGUCUUGUACACACCGCCCGUCACACCAUGGGAGUUGGUUCUACCUUAAGGCAAGGCUUUAAACCCUUGACCACGGUAUAGUCAGCGACUGGGGUGAAGUCGUAACAAGGUAGCCGUAGGGGAACCUGCGGCUGGAUUACCUCCUCUCU